rnacentral:lncRNA from 1 species
CCAGUGGCCUUGAGUGGCCCGGGAUGGAAGACUGUUCGCAACAGAGAACCUGUCGCAUAUUCCAUAACAACUGUCCUGGCAAGACAAGGCAUGUGAGCCCCCAGGGACUUCUGGGCAAUUGGCCCUUCGAUGUACAGGUGGAUCACCCAUGGCGACUGGAAGUGAUGUUAGAGAGAAGGGAUAUUUUGCUGCUUGGAAUUCCACUGCCACCCCCAAAGAAGUGCUGUUUUCGUCACUUGUAUGAGCUCCUUUCUCUGGGAAAAUUCACAGCAUUGCUUUCUAGAGACUGACAUGUUCCAAAAACUAGGUUUCAUAUGAAUGAACUUAUUCCUUCCCCUUGAGAUGAGACAUAAAGAAAAAUGUUAGGAAUAAUUCUGCCUCCAUCCUCAAAGGCCUGUGUGAAUUCUCACAAAGGUGAUGACCACAGAGACAAGGUGGAUUUGUUACUGUAGGUGCCAUUACUUCUGCCACCAGCUUCUCCAGUACAGUGACAGUCUUCUUUGUGCAUGGAAACUCUGCUCUUUCCUGUGUUGCAGUGGAUACCUCCUGCAGAUAAGAAAUGACAGACAACAUCUGCAAAGGAAGGAUUAUCUGAGUGCAGCCUGCUGCUCCUGGUGCAACUGAUGUCAGCCUUGGUGCCGCAGCUGGGUAGACGGAAACUCAAGUCCUUUACAGCUUCCUUAUUUCCAGAAAGCUUUGGAGACAGACAACACCCCAGAGGAAGGAAGAUCUGAGCGUGGCCUGCUGCCCCUAGGGCAAUCGAUAUCAGCCUUGAUCCAGCCUUUGGUGUGGACAGAAACUCACAUCCUCUGGGGCAUCCUCCUUUCCAGAAAGCAUCAGAAUCAGACAUUCUGGAGAAGGCCUCACUGUAACCUGAACAAUUCAAGACAGACAACGUCCCCAGAGGAAGGAAGAUCUGAGUGUGGCUUGCUGCUCCUGGG